AUUGAACGCUGGCGGCAGGCCUAACACAUGCAAGUCGGACGGUAGCACAGAGAGCUUGCUCUCGGGUGACGAGUGGCGGACGGGUGAGUAAUGUCUGGGGAUCUGCCCGAUAGAGGGGGAUAACCACUGGAAACGGUGGCUAAUACCGCAUAACGUCGCAAGACCAAAGAGGGGGACCUUCGGGCCGCUCACUAUCGGAUGAACCCAGAUGGGAUUAGCUAGUAGGCGGGGUAACGGCCCACCUAGGCGACGAUCCCUAGCUGGUCUGAGAGGAUGACCAGCCACACUGGACCUGAGACACGGUCCAGACUCCUACGGGAGGCAGCAGUGGGGAAUAUUGCACAAUGGGCGAAACCUGAUGCAGCCAUGCCGCGUGUAUGAAGAAGGCCUUCGGGUUGUAAAGUACUUUCAGCGGGGAGGAAGGCGAUGUGGUUAAUAACCGCGUCGAUUGACGUUACCCGCAGAAGAAGCACCGGCUAACUCCGUGCCAGCAGCCGCCGUAA
rnacentral:rRNA from 1 species